AGAUGAAAUAUCAGGAGGAAAGGGAAGGGAGGAUCUGUAAUUGAAAAUAAAAGAGUGAAUUAUGAAAACUGAUUAAGCCAAACCCAUCGUAUUCAUAUAUUCAUGUGUAAUAUUUAAGAAACCACUGCCUAAUCCAAGGUCAUGAAGAUUAACAUCUAUGUUAUUAAAAUGAAGUUCUGAAGAAGCUGGAUUUAUGUGGCUAUGGUAAAUGUAUCUUUAAAAACUCUUGAAGGAAAAAGCAAUAAAAUCUACACUAAAUUAUUGAAGAAGUCAAAAUAACAAAUGCACUUAUGGAUAAUGUUAAAAGUCUCAAAAAUGUACUAGCUUCAUUGCAGUCUGAAAAAUCCAGUUUGAAAGUGAGAUUUCAGAGCUUCAGCAGAAACUUAGUCAUUACUAAACUGCAUCAAUAAAAUAAAAUGAUUAUGCAAGAUUCAAUUUAAAGUGAUUUACUAUGGAAAGAGAAGAAUCUUUCCAAAGCAGAUGAAAAAAUCAGUCAUGCAUCUGAAGUGCUAGACAUCUUCAGAAUCCUAGCCAAAAUUCUCUCUCUCUCUGUCUCUCUCUCUCUCUCUUUUUUAGCAGGGCCUCUCUCUCUCUGUUGCUUAG
rnacentral:lncRNA from 1 species